rnacentral:misc_RNA from 1 species
GAAAUGCGAUAAGUAAUGUGAAUUGCAGAAUUCAGUGAAUCAUCGAAUCUUUGAACGCACAUUGCGCCCCCUGGUAUUCCGGGGGGCACACCUGUUCGAGCGCCAUUUCACCCCUCAAGCCUCGCUUGGUGAUGGGCCCCGCCCGAGCGGCGGGCCCGAAACUUGUGGGCGUCGACGGCCGGACUCCAAGCGUAGCAAUACCCUCGCUUGCGGAUGACCGGACGGCGGCCGCCCCGGACCCCCCGAAUUUUAUCAAUGGUUGGCCUCGGAUCAGGUGGGGAUACCCGCUGAACUUAA